GAUGAACGCUGGCGGCAGGCCUAAUACAUGCAAGCUGAACGGUAAAUGUUGUAGCAAUACGAUAUGAGAGUAGCGUAAGGGUGCGUAACACGUAUGCAAUCUACCCGCAACAGGAGGAUAGCUCCCCGAAAGGGGAAUUAAUACUCCAUAAUAUCACGAGAGGGCAUCUGAUUGGGAUUAAACUCCAAGGGGUUGCGGAUGAGCAUGCGUCUGAUUAGUUAGUUGGUGAGGUAACGGCUCACCAAGACGAUGAUCAGUAGGGGAACUGAGAGGUUGGUGCCCCACACUGGCACUGAGGUACGGGCCAGACUCCUAAGGGAGGCAGCAGUAGGGAAUAUUGGUCAAUGGGUGAAAGCCUGAACCAGCCAUGCCGCGUGCAGGAAGACGGCCUUCUGGGUUGUAAACUGCUUUUAUCUGGGGUUAAAAUACCCGUGCGCGGGGAAUUGAAAGUACCAGAGGAAUAAGCCACGGCUAACUACGUGCCAGCCGCCGCAGUAA
rnacentral:rRNA from 1 species